rnacentral:rRNA from 1 species
UACGUAGGGUGCAAGCGUUGUCCGGAAUUAUUGGGCGUAAAGAGCUUGUAGGCGGUUUUGUCGCGUCUGCUGUGAAAUUUCGGGGCUCAACCCCGAACUUGCAGUGGGGUACGGGCAGACUAGAGUGUGGUAGGGGAGACUGGAAUCCUGGUGUAGCGGUGAAAUGCGCAGAUAUCAGGAGGAACACCAAUUGCGAAGGCAGCUCGCUGGGGACGUCAACUGACGCUGAGACGCGAAAAGCGUGGGGAGCAAACAGG